GCCGGGAGCAGUGGCGCACGCCUGUAGUCACAGCUACUCAGGAGGCUGAGGCUGGAGGAUCUCUUGAGCCCAGGAGUUCUGGGCUGUAGUGUGCUAUGCUGAUCGGGUGUCCACACUAAGUUUGGCAUCAAUAUCGUGACCUCCCGGGAGCAGGGGACCACCAGGUUGCCUAAAGAGGGGUGAACCGGCCCAGGUUGGAAACGGAGCAGGUCAAAACUCCUGUGCUGAUCAGUAGUGGGAUCACACCUGUGAAUAGCCACUGCACUCCAGCCUGGGCAACACAGCAAGACACUGUCUCUU
ensembl:misc_RNA Metazoa_SRP Metazoan signal recognition particle RNA